GCCGCUGUAGCUCAGUUGGUAGAGCAGGGGACUGAAAAUCCCCGUGUCCGCAGUUCGAUUCUGCGCGGCGGCA
rnacentral:tRNA from 2 species